rnacentral:rRNA from 1 species
AGAGGGUGCGAGCGUUAGUCGGAAUUACUGGGCGUAAAGGGCGCGUAGGUGGUUAAGUAAGUCAAAGGUGAAAUCCCCGGGCUCAACCUGGGAAUUGCCUAUGAUACUGUUUAACUAGAGUGCGGUAGAGGGAAGUGGAAUUUCCGGUGUAGCGGUGAAAUGCGUAGAUAUCGGAAGGAACAUCAGUGGCGAAGGCGACUUCCUGGACUGACACUGACACUGAGGCGCGAAAGCGUGGGGAGCGAACAGGAUUAGAUACCCUGGUAGUCCACGCCGUAAACGAUGAGAACUAGCCCGUUGGAGACUUAGGUCUUUAGUGGCGCAGCUAACGCGAUAAGUUCUCCGCCUGGGGGAGUACGGCCGCAAGGCUA